rnacentral:rRNA from 1 species
UACAGCGGGUGCAAGCGUUAAUCGGAAUUACUGGGCGUAAAGCGCGCGUAGGUGGUUUGGUAAGGCGGUUGUGAAAUCCCCGGGCUUAACCUGGGAAUUGCAGUCGAUACUGCCUGACUCGAGUGUGGGAGAGGGAAGCGGAAGUUCCGGUGUAGCGGUGAAAUGCGUAGAUAUCGGAAGGAACACUAGUGGCGAAGGCGGCUUCCUGGUCCAACACUGACACUGAGGCGCGAAAGCGUGGGUAGCGAACAGG